GAUGAACGCUAGCGGCAGGCUUAAUACAUGCAAGUCGAACGGUAAGUAGUGUAGCAAUACAUUACCAAGAGUGACGUACGGGUGCGUAACACGUAUGCAACCUACCUUGUACAGGAGUAUAGCUCGGGGAAACUCGAAUUAACCCUCCAUAAGAUCGUGGUGUGGCAUCACACAGCGAUAAAAACUCAGGUGGUACAAGCUGGGCAUGCGUCUGAUUAGAGUUGGCGGGGUAACGGCCCACCAAGACGAUGAUCAGUAGGGGAACGUGA
rnacentral:rRNA from 1 species